GCCUGUUGUUCUAGUAUUUUGACAAGCACUUCACAAAGGAUUGCCAGUGCUUCUCAACAGAAAGAAGUAACUAAUGUUGGAACUUCAGUUUUGAUAGAACAGCAGUAGUUGUUAACACAACACUCAUAAUCACAAUUGUACAGGGUAUGUCUCAGAGAAAGAAGAGGAGAGUGGUUCCUGCAAUUAUGUCAAAUUCAGCUUGAGUUUACUAAUGAAGAACCAACCUAAACAAUUUCCUAAGAAGUAUGUUCAGCCCACCAGUUAUCUGCACAAGUAGCUCCUGGGCAAGUGUUGCUUAAUUUCACUAAUAUAAGGAGAAAUUAUCUUCCUGUUAACUUGGAACAAUAGUG